CUCUAAGGAGACUGCCGGUGACAAACCGGAGGAAGUGGGGAUGACGUCAAGUCAUCAUGGCCCUUACGGCCUGGGCUACACACGUGCUACAAUGGUCGGUACAAAGGGUUGCCAAGCCGCGAGGUGGAGCUAAUCCCAUAAAACCGAUCGUAGUCCGGAUCGCAGUCUGCAACUCGACUGCGUGAAGUCGGAAUCGCUAGUAAUCGUGAAUCAGAAUGUCACGGUGAAUACGUUCCCGGGCCUU
rnacentral:rRNA from 1 species